GAUGGUGUUUGUUGUAUUCAGUGUUCUGUUGACAUUUUUUGCAGAGUGAGAAUUGAAAACAACUGCAUUUGCAACAUGCAACAUGCAUGGACAAACAUCUUAGUUCUGUUUUUUUAUACCUCAGUUGAAUGCUUACAAUUAAUCGCCUCCGUCUGGCAUUCGUCUAGUCUCAAGCAAGUGAUUUUGUUCUUAUCCGCAAUGAUGGCUGAGCAUCCUCUCUCCCAGAGCUUAGGGAUGCAGUCGCAGUCAUGCAGCUGCUGGUGUGGCUUGAGAAGAAAGCUCCAGAAGAGACAGAGACCGAGCUCACAGCAGCACAUUUUGUCGAUCAGUGUCACAUACAGAACUGUGAAGCUAAACCCUCAUCACUGAUAAACACAUUCUACUGACAGUGAUUAUAUCAAGGUUUUUUUUUUUUUUUUUGAAGUCCUGCGGUUCCAAGAGUAUAUGUACUAUUAGAUAAUAUUUGAAAACCAGCUCCAAGAUCAGUCAGUACAUUACAAAUUCUUAUUGAGAGCAAAAAAGUGUGAAAAUAUAAGAAAGAAAAGUGCAAGAGUAUGUAAUACCUAAAAAACAAAUAAUAAUAAUAAUGAAACUUUUUUUAAUGAAAAAUGAGUAGUUGGUCCAUUAUGGCUAAAUAUUAGUUUACAUAUGGAGAAAUCAAUGAAAUAUUUACUUAAAAAAAAACAGACUCUAGAACUCUAUAUUAGCCAUCUUUCUAACCUUGCAAGAUUCGAAUAACAUCAUUUCCACAAUUAAAACAUGUUAGUACAUCAAGGAUGUUAAUACGGAAGAUGAUUUAUUUGUGUAAACUUCCUUUUUCUUGAGAACCACAAACCCUUUGCUGUGUUUUGGCAGCAAACAGAAGAACAGCAGAGGGCUGUUAUUUAUUAGUCCAUCUAAUGAAACUGCAAGGAAGCUGUCAGUGGAUGAGAUGUAUCCUUUGGACUCUGGAAGACAGAACCUGGAUGGUACUACUGAUAUAACGCGCACUGUGCACAGGGGUAAACCCACUGACUUUCAGAAGGAGGCCUACACAAGAGUGCUCAUGGGAAAUUUUGAGAUUUCAAGAAGCGUCUUUCCUAGAGAUGAUCUCCUAAUCUUCAAUCACAUUAUCCCUUCAAGCAAUCAUGCCAUGAUACUUCCACAAGAGGGCGCCAUAUCCACAGCAGACUUUUCACAGAUACCUUCACAAAACUUGCCAAGUGCUCACCUUUAAUGUGUCUUUA